AGGGAGGGGCUCUGGUAGGUCGGGGGGAUCCCAGGGCUCAGCUUGAGGGGGCUGCAGGCGGGAGGGAGGGGCUCUGGUAGGUCGGGGGGAUCCCAGGGCUCAGCUUGAGGGGGCUGCAGGCGGGAGGGAGGGGCUCUGGUAGGUCGGGGGGAUCCCAGGGCUCAGCUUGAGGGGGCUGCAGGCGGGAGGGAGGGGCUCUGGUAGGUCGGGGGGAUCCCAGGGCUCAGCUUGAGGGGGCUGCAGGCGGGAGGGAGGGGCUCUGGUAGGUCGGGGGGAUCCCAGGGCUCAGCUUGAGGGGGCUGCAGGCGGGAGGGAGGGGCUCUGGUAGGUCGGGGGGAUCCCAGGGCUCAGCUUGAGGGGGCUGCAGGCGGGAGGGAGGGGCUCUGGGAGGGGGGGGGAUCCCAGGGCUCAGCUAGCGGGGGCUGCAGGUCAGAGCUGAGGAGUGGCAAUGGCCCAUGUCUCGCUCCAGCCCUCUCCACAGCUAACAGUAAAUCCCCCUGGACUCUGCCGGCCGGCUCUGCAGUGGGGUGUCUGGGAGCUGCCCAAUGCUGACCUUCCCGGGGCCGGGGCCUGGGCCUUGUCUAGAUGAGGGAUCCGGGGGAGCCCCCCCCAGCCAGUGUGACAUCGGACGACCCUCUCAGAGCCCUGCUGGCCCAGAGCUAGGGCGCCUCACUGGCUGCUGACCCAGUGGCUGUGGGCUAGGACCUGGGUUCUUUGCCCGGCUCCAGGAGCAGCUGGGGAAAGGGGGAGAAAUCUGUAUUUUAAAGAGCGUAUGUGUAGUAGUGCAGGCCGGGCGCUGGGCGUCCGCACUCCUGGGCCCUCUCUGCAGCGCUGGGCGUGGGGAGGGUCUCGUGGAUGGGGAAAGUCCUGUGAGUCCUUUGCUACUGGGAAGGUGCUUGUGACCAAGGUACCUCCUGCCUCAGUUUCCUCUGGUUCGUGGCACUGCCCCAGGGGUUGCCAAGCUAAUGUCCGUGCUGGUUGACAAGUGUUUUGAGAUGGGGGCAGGGGGAGGGGAAUGGGUGUGUGAGUGAGGCGCUGGGCUCCACCCUGGUGCUGCCUGAGCUUCAGAUCCAGGGAACCCUGCUGGGUUUGUUCUGCAGCGCAUGCUGGGGGCGCCAUGCUCAGUGGGCUGACAGGGCACUCACCAGAGGGGCUCACUGCCCAGGGCUGGGGGCUGGAAGCUGCAUGCAUAGGGGCCAGAGUGUGGGGCCUGGGGCUGUAUCACGACAGGCUGGGAGCCAAGGAGGUGGGGGGUGAGGCUGGGAGGUCACUUGCUAUGAGGACCAGGAGCCUGAGGGGAUAGCUGGGAGGUACACUUGCUAUAGGGCCCAGAAGCCUGGGAGGUAACAUUUGCUAUAAGGGCCAGGAGCCCGGGAGAUGGCUGGAAGGUACAUUUGCUAUAAGGGCUAAGAGCCCAGGGAGUGGCUGGGAGGUACAUUUGCUAUAGGGCCAGGAGCCUGGGGUGGGUGGGAGGUACACGUGCUAGAAGGGCCAGGAGGUGUGCUCCCAUGGAGGGAGUGAGAGCCAUGUGCACUGCAUUGUACUUGCUAUAGGAUAUGGGCAUGUGGGAAGGAGGGGGAGGUGCAUGCUUUGAGGAGUACACUGGAACUAAGUGCUGGGUAUUCGGAGGGUUUGAGGCAGGUAUACCAGCUGUAAGGGCUGGGUGCUUGUGGGGAGGGAAUAGAGGCAGGUAUACCAGCUGUAAGGGCUGGGUGCUUGGGGGAGGGGAUGGGGGCAGGUAUACCAGCUGUAAGGGCUGGGUGCUGGCGGGGAGGGGAGGGGAGGGGUCAUACCUCUUAUAAGGGUACCUCCCAACUAUCCCCCAGGGCACCUGACCCCUAUAGAGCUGGGCUCCCGGAGCAGAUUUGUCUUUGGCUCAGCCGAGGAGAAGCUCUGAUGCCCCCUGGAUGACUUGCCUGUCAGACUAGGGGCCCUGGAUGCUGGGUCUUCAAGUGCUGCCCCCCCCCCUUCCCAGGAUGCUCAGCUGUCUAGGAGCCUGCCCUCUCCCCCGGGCCGGCCCGGCUGGCCUUUGCACUGGGCUGGCUGGAGACACUGAUGUCACUGGGCUCUGCAGGGAGCAGUGCUGUGCCCUGACCACAGACAUGCAUGUAUUCAGGAGGGCAGUUCCUGGCUUCUCUCUGAGAGCUGGGGAUGGGGCGCUCCCACGCCCAGUCCCUGCGCCAUUCAGUGGCACCUGUAGAAUCCCUCUUCCCCUUAGGAAGGACGCUGUGGCUGAUGGACCACAUUUGCUCCUGGUGCAUGGGGAAGGAAGUGGGGCCGGGCGUCAGGACCCCUGGGUACUACCUCCAGCUCUGGGAGAGGAGUGAUGUCUAGUGGGUGGAACAGUAGAGUGGGACUCGAGACACAGGUUCUAGUCCAGGCUUUGGGAGCGAACGGGGGAGGGGGAGGAUUUGCUGUGUGGCUUUGGGAGAGUCACCCCAUGGCCAGCAUUGAGUCACCCCCACCCCAGUAACACAGGGCGAGUGAUGCUGCAGAGUGCGGGCUGGUUUGGAACUGAGGCUGCUCUGCAGGAGGUGGGCGGGCAAAGGCGCCAGGGAGGAAGAGCAAAAGAGGGACAAAGCCCCCAGCCCAGGCAGAGCCAUUUGCCUGUUCUCAGAGCACCCGUGUAUCAACUCCAGGCCACACCCUGCUCUUGCCCACACCAUGGAAAACCCACACGAGGCCUGGCCAGAGAGCACUGGGAGCCAGCAGAGCUCAGCGCCUCGCAGGGCCAGGCAUGAGGUGAGACAGAAUCAGGCUCAGAAUCAGCAGCUCCCUAUCAGGAGCGUCCCCAGGACUGACCUCCUCAAACCGGCUUCCUUGGGGCUCUUUCAGCUGUGAGGACCUUUAAUCUGGUCACCGCUUAGUGGCCAUGCCCCAGUGGCCCUGAGCUGCUAACCUCUCCCGCCUGCACUGUAAAUACACCCGAGCUCACCUCCGCCAUGGGUAUUCUCUGUACGUGUUUGUACUUCGGGCGUAAUUUUCUACCAUGCAGUUACUCUUCGUUUCUCGAAACCGGUUAUUAUUCGAACAGCUCCACAUUCCAACGCUGAACCCAAACUCUGCGCAUGUGAAAAUGAAACCAAGGAACUAAGCAAAAGAACUACGUGAAGGACAAAUAAAAAACAAAAGUGAAUUAAAA